CACGUAGGGUGCGAGCGUUAAUCGGAAUUACUGGGCGUAAAGUGUGCGCAGGCGGCCGAGCAAGUCGAGUGUGAAAGCCCCGAGCUUAACUUGGGAACUGCGCUCGAAACUACUUGGCUAGAGUGUGGCAGAGGGAGGUGGAAUUCCACGUGUAGCGGUGAAAUGCGUAGAGAUGUGGAGGAACACCGAUGGCGAAGGCAGCCUUCUGGGCCAAUACUGACGCUCAUGCACGAAAGCGUGGGGAGCAAACAGG
rnacentral:rRNA from 1 species